GACGAACGCUGGCGGCGUGCUUAACACAUGCAAGUCGAACGAAGUGGCGAACGGGUGAGUAACGCGUAAUCAACCUGCCCUUCAGAGGGGGACAACAGUUGGAAACGACUGCUAAUACCGCAUACGGAAGGAGGGGUUUGCGUCGGAUUUGCUAGUUGGAGGGGUAACGGCCGACCAAGGCGAUGAUCAGUAGCCGGUCUGGGAGGAUGGACCGCCACAUUGGGACUGGGGCACGGCCCAGACUCCUACGGGAGGCAGCAGUGGGGAAAUUUCCGCAAUGGACGAAAGUCUGACGAAGCAACGCCGCGGGGGUGAUGGCGGCCUUCGGGUUGUAAAGCUCUGUUAAUCGGGACGCGGUACCGGAAUAGAAAGCCACGGCUAACUACGUGCCAGCAGCCGCGGUAAUAC
rnacentral:rRNA from 1 species